GACAAACGCUGGCGGCGUGCUUAACACAUGCAAGUCGAAUGGUAAGGCCCUUCGGGGUACACGAGUGGCGAACGGGUGAGUAACACGUGGGUGAUCUGCCCUGCACUUCGGGAUAAGCCUGGGAAACUGGGUCUAAUACCGGAUAGGACCCUGGGAUGCAUGUCCUGGGGUGGAAAGCUUUUGCGGUGUGGGAUGGGCCCGCGGCCUAUCAGCUUGUUGGUGGGGUGAUGGCCUACCAAGGCGACGACGGGUAGCCGGCCUGAGAGGGUGACCGGCCACACUGGGACUGAGAUACGGCCCAGACUCCUACGGGAGGCAGCAGUGGGGAAUAUUGCACAAUGGGCGCAAGCCUGAUGCAGCGACGCCGCGUGAGGGAUGACGGCCUUCGGGUUGUAAACCUCUUUCAGCACCGACGAAGCGCAAGUGACGGUAGGUGCAGAAGAAGGACCGGCCAACUACGUGCCAGCAGCCGCGGUAA
rnacentral:rRNA from 1 species